GUCAGUGGAGGGCAUGUGUCUGCAAUGCCAGUCAGAAGCCAAAGAAGGGACAACUGGCUCUACAGGCUACGGUUGUUUUCAGAAUUUGUAUGAUUCAGCACUUCCUGGGACAGUAGGAAGCACUAAUUUGGCAGCAGCUGACUGUGAGAACUGGCUGGCUAUGGUAAGCCAGCCUACAUUGGAUUCUGUCCUCUUGUACCUGACAAUCUGAUUCUGCUCCCAGAAACCACGUGUCACCCACUGUGUGCUAUCAGGAAGGGACCUCAGCAGCAUCAUCCUAGAACUCAACUCUCAGCUUAUGUCUUCCAAAAUCUUUCUUUUCCUUCAUCAUCAUUGGUUACAUGCACAACUUCGGAUGCGCUCACUCCACUGUCCUCACACCAGUAACAGCCCUGAUGUCCCUGCCCCUCCCUGCCAUGCUGGAGGUCUGCUCAGCUGUUCCAUUGACCCCUUGGCACAACCUUGGGAAGAUUUCUCUGCCACCAGCCUGUAGCAUAUUGGAGCAAACUCAUUUGCCUAUUCUGCCACUUAUGGACCAGCAGGGAAACAGGAAGGGGUUAGCAACCCAUGGGGUGGACCCGUGACCUGUGAGAGAAACCCCUGGACAGUUGUUUGCGACCCCAGGGCUGUAAAGCUUCUCUCCUACAGGCCGGAUUAGCUUAGUAAUAUCCUCUCACAUAGGCUUUCCUUUUUCCAUUUUGUUCUUCCUGACCUCUUUCCUCUUGUUUGGGAUCACGUCUAAAAAUAAACCAGCCGCUGGAGUUAGACUCCA